CACGUAGGCGGCGCUCUAAGUCAGGUGUGAAAUCCCCCGGCUCAACCGGGGAACUGCACCUGAUACUGGAGCGCUCGAGGACGGUAGGGGUGAGUGGAACUCCAGGUGGAGCGGUGAAAUGCGUAGAUAUCUGGAGGAACACCGGUGGCGAAAGCGGCUCACUGGACCGUCUCUGACGCUGAGGUGCGAAAGCUAGGGUAGCAAAACG
rnacentral:rRNA from 1 species